rnacentral:rRNA from 1 species
GACGAACGCUGGCGGCGUGCUUAACACAUGCAAGUCGAACGGAAAGGCCCUGCUUUUGUUGGGUGCUCGAGUGGCGAACGGGGGAGUAACACGUGAGUAACCUGCCCUUGACUUUGGGAGAACUUCAGGAAACUGGGGCUAAUACCGGAGAGGAGCUCCUGCUGCAUGGGGGGGGUUGGUAAGUGUCGGCGGUUGGGGAUGGACUCGCGGCUUAUCAGCUUGUUGGUGGGGUAGUGGCUUUCCAAGGCUUUGAAGGGUAGCCGGCCUGAGAGGGUGACCGGCCACAUUGGGACUGAGAUACGGCCCAGACUCCUACGGGAGGCAGCAGUGGGGAAUAUUGCACAAUGGGCGGAAGCCUGAUGCAGCAACGCCGCGUGCGGGAUGACGGCCUUCGGGUUGUAAACCGCUUUCGCCUGUGACGAAGCGUGAGUGACGGUAAUGGGUAAAGAAGCACCGGCUAACUACGUG